CCCUUAGAUGUUCUGGGCCGCACGCGCGCUACACUGACGAAUGCAACGAGCUUAUAACCUUGGCCGAAAGGUCUGGGUAAUCUCCAAAUUUCGUCGUGAUGGGGAUAGAUUAUUGCAAUUAUUAAUCUUCAACGGGGAAUGCCUAGUAAGCGCAAGUCAUCAGCUUGCGUUGAUUACGUCCCUGCCCUUUGUACACACCGCCCGUCGCUCCUACCGAUUGAAUGGUCCGGUGAAGCGUUCGGACCGUGGCCUUUGGACGGUUCGCCGUCUGUUGGCUGCGGGAAGUUCGUUAAACCUUAUCAUUUAGAGGAAGGAGAAGUCGUAACA
rnacentral:rRNA from 1 species